CUGUGUUAGCCCUUCAAAAGGUUCUCUGAAUGCACUGGGAGAAGUAACUUCAGCUUCACCCUUUGCUUCAGUGAAAAUCUAAGUAUUUGGCAAAACAUAUCUAUUUUUUUUUUUUUUCUGACAGGCUUUUUGCCUCAGUUGCAGAACUGCUCCAGUUAAUCCAUUUUGCUCACACUGAGUUUUGCCAUCACACUGAAAUGCUGCUGGAAGAAAAGAAGAUGAUCAACAGCAAAUCUCUCCUGCUGCAAUCCAGUCCUGUCCACUCUGCCUGGCAGAAAGGUCAGAGCUGCAGGAUGAGCCUGUUUCCAGUGGCAUUGAGGGACUUGCAUCGUUGGUCCUGCACCUCAAGAGAAAAUGGAACAGAAAUGGGAGAUCUGGGUAGGAUAAUGAUUUCCAGCCUUCUUCUGAGGAAGAUAUUCUAGGAAUGUUUCCUCACAAAGUACAGGCUGUGUAUUUAGAAAACGGACCAUUCAUUUUUGCUAAAUUUGUCAUCUGAAAAACUGGUGCCUACACGAAGGAACAGAGGCUUAUGGAUAGAGACACCUUUCAUUCUGCUUUGAGCAAAUAAUUCUUUCAUUUGCUAAGUACUUUUUUACCAUAGUAAAGAUGUCCAGCAGUGCUGAACUGCAGUGAAUUGUACCUGGAAUUUUAUAAACUGUAUCUGUAUAACCAAGAAGCUCAGCACGUGUUGCGCCACUCAAUAUUUUCCCCGUUGAUUGCAGCAGUAUUUCAGACGAGUCCCCAGGGAAAUACAGCAACUUCCUUUUGUUCAGAAAGUCAUCAAAACCAGGCAGCUCAUGAUCUUUAUCAGCAAAAUUAUUUGCAUUUCUUUUGCUACAGCCUCAGAGAGAGGAAAGGGGGCACAGGGAAUGAAACACAAGAGUGGAGCUGCUUGGCAGAGGCUCUAAAGCAGAGCCUGAAGUGUAUUUAUGGUUAUAAUUUCGCACAGAUCACUUGGUGCUCUAACACCGUGCUCCUGAUCACAACAUACAUCACACUUUAAUUUUAACCUUUGCAAUUCAUCAAUAGUUUCAAUAUCAAAUAUAAUUCAGCACUGACACUAUUGGUUUACAGGUAAGUGGAAUAAGAAUGGAGGAGACUUAGUAAUGGAUUAGUUGGCCUGUCAGCAGAGGCAGAAAGAUUCAUGUUGUCUUCUCUAUGUUUCUAUCACAUGCACAAAGCUAUAAAUAAUGGCAACAGCUAAUCAGACACAAGAAAGAUAUAUGCUGUCAUUGAAAAUCAGUUAUUUCUACCAUCUGAGCUCUAAAAAUUUAACCACUGAAAAGGAAUCCAUUUAAUAAAACAGCAUUUUGCUGCUUGUUUUGCA
rnacentral:lncRNA from 1 species